AAUAAGCAAUAUUUGUUUGAGAAUUAUCUUGUGGAUAUCCUUAAAUUAACCUUUGGACACUUCUAUAAACCAACUAACAAAUGUUGUUUUGUUGGGUAGUUCAUUGUAAUCCUACAAUAGGAUUUGCCUAAGAUAGAGCAAAUGAACGAGAGAUAGAACUCAAAGAAUGGGUUCUUUGAGAGACAAGAUGAUAAUCAACAAAUAUAACAACCUAGUUCCUACACCACUAGCUCCAAGGUAGUCGAGAAGGAUCUAUAAACCGUCUUAGUUGAAUGGUUUGAACUUUAUGACUAUGUCAUAGAGUUACACCUCUUAAUUCGAACGAAAUAAGAAUGAAAAUCCUUAUGACUACAUUGAGUUUACAUACGACAUAAACUCAAGGAAAUGGUAAAGUACCAUUUGACCCGAAAUAGUGAAACCUUUAAUAGCUAAUUGGUAGCUUAAGGUGACUACAAUCAAAGAGAUUGGUUGACUUGGAAGAAACCAUCUUUGACGUAGUCUUGGUUCCAAUUAAUUCAAAGAUUGCUAGCUACAACUAAAUGGUGAUUCAAUGUUUGGACAUAAUAUGGGUUUCCGAAACCAUUAUUAAGAUAGUCUUGAUAAUAUAUGUCUAAAACUAUGAAUCACAAGACAUGUAAGUUGUAGAGAUCCAUCCAUCAUGAAUCUUAGCAAGCUAGUGGGAGCUAUAAGCGUCUUAUGAGAGAAAGAUCAAAUCGUUUGAUUUCUCAUAAAGAUGUAAAUGAAUCUUUUGUUUACUAGGUUUACAAAAGAUUAGUGGGAGUCAAUCAUAUUCCUAAAUUUGAAUAUAUACAUAUAUGAUAUAUUAAUUCUGGAAAUGAAAACUUCUUCGUUAAAGUUAUGACUUUAAACAUUCUAUAACGAUAGAAUGUAUAUGGGAGACAUAGUCUUUAAACAUGGGAUGGAAAUCUAUAAUGAUAGAUUUCAGGAUAUAAUUGGAUUAUAUCAAGCCCUAAUGGUAGACAAAAGAUGCUAGGAAGUUUCUCAUAUGAUGAUAAACUUCAAUCAGAAGAACAACUCUAGUGAGACUAGGAGGUAACUCUUCUCAAAGGGAACGUACCCUUUGACUCCCAAAGAAAUAAUGUGUAAAUAGAAUCCUUUAUGUAUAUGCAGAAAGGUGAUUUAUAUAUUUCAUAUUGUAUGAAAAACGUUGAUAUGAGUUAUACCAAGAUCGGUACAAGACGAUAUCAAUGCAAGCCCAGGAUCAGAACCAUGGCAACUGUCAAGUGAAUCCUUAAGUAUUUGAGAAAUAAUAAAGGAUGGAUUCCUCAAGAAUGAGGAAGAAUUAGAGUAACGUAAUGGAAGCGUAAAUGUAUUCGAUUAUGAAUCUAAUCCAUCAUUGGAUGUUUCUUCAUUAUGAAUGAAGAGAUAAUCAGAUAUCUCUUUGUUAUGACUAAAGAGAUAUUUGGAUGGAAACAUUAAAAGUAAUAACUUUAGUGUGUUCCAUUGUGAAUGCAAAAUAUAUUUCCAUAUAGAAGCUUACAACAAUGUUGUUUGGAUGAGAAAGUUCAUUCAUGAACUUUCUAUUCGAUUCCAACCAGAAAGUAUCUCUAGUGUACCGACACUACGACACUAAUGGGGCGAUAGCUCAAGCCAGGGAAUCAAGGUCUCAUCAUGAUCCGAACUCAAAUGAGAGACUAAACCACAUGAUUAAAAAUCAUGUAUAAUGGUGACGUCGUUAUUCUCAAGGUUGCUUCUAUGGAUAACAUAUAGAUAUCCAUUGUCUAGGCCUACUACUCAACCAUUUUUGAAAUGACCACAGAAGAGGUAUCAUCAUUGAUGACCAAGUUGAUUGACUCUAGUGCAAGUGGGAGAUUGUUGGAAAUGUGCCCUAAAACCAAUCAUAUGAUGAUACUUUACGGACAUGUCACAUGUUAAACUAAUAUAGUUUAAUUUAAAGGGAAAAUAUUAUUGUUUAAAGCCGUCUCAUAUAAAUGUUAUACGCUUAAACGAUAAGUCCAAGGAAUAUGUAAUUGGGAGAAUACGAUCUAAAGAAGUUAGAUUCAUGAGACCAUUCUCUUUCGUAUACAUAUCAUAAACGUUCCUGAUCAUAGGAUUGCCAAUUGGGCAUUGACAGUCCGUUAAGAUCAGUACGUGUUAUGUCUUCUCUUAGGGAGAGUGACUGGUCUCGAGUUAUUGGUGUGACUGACACCAAGACAAGUACGUAGGUGCUCAAUAGAGAAUGAGUUCACUGAACGCGAUCAACAAGGAGUUCUCAUACUCAUGUCACAUGAGAACUCAUGGUUGUGAUAAUGCAAAGUAGUCAUUUGACCUGAGGCAUCAUAGUUGUCUUGUGGUUAGGUCCUUGAUCUUUGACUAUGUCAAAGUCACUCCAUCCGAGGUGUCCACGACAUAGUUGGGGUUAAGCCACUUAGCCAUGAAGGCAAGUGAAUGCGUAACAAGGGAUCUCUAACGUUCAAACUAUUUGAGAGAGAAUACUCUAUAAUAUGAUUAAGAAUCUCUGGCCAGAGUAUGAAUGAGAUUUAGGAAGUCGUUCCAAAUCACAUUCAAGGUAAUCA
rnacentral:lncRNA from 1 species